rnacentral:rRNA from 1 species
UACGUAGGCAGCGAGCGUUGUUCGGAAUUACUGGGCGUAAAGCGUGCGCAGGCGGUUGUGCAAGACAGAUGUGAAAUCCCCGGGCUUAACCUGGGAAUUGCAGUGGAUACUGGCAAGCUGGAGUACGGUAGAGGAAGGUGGAAUUCCCGGUGUAGCAGUGAAAUGCGUAGAGAUCGGGAAGAACACCUAUGGCGAAGGCAGCUCUCUGGGACGGUACUGACGCUGAGACGCGAAAGCGUGGGGAGCGAACAGG